CCUGAGUGGAUCCUGAGUACGGCGGAACACGUGAAAUUCCGUCGGAAUCCGGGAGGACCAUCUCCCAAGGCUAAAUACUCCCUAGUGACCGAUAGUGAACCAGUACCGUGAGGGAAAGGUGAAAAGCACCCCGGAAGGGGAGUGAAAGAGAUCCUGAAACCGUGUGCCUACAAGUAGUCAGAGCCCGUUAACGGGUGAUGGCGUGCCUUUUGUAGAAUGAACCGGCGAGUUACGAUCCCGUGCAAGGUUAAGCAGAAGAUGCGGAGCCGCAGCGAAAGCGAGUCUGAAUAGGGCGAAUUGAGUACGUGGUCGUAGACCCGAAACCAGGUGAUCUACCCAUGUCCAGGGUGAAGUUCAGGUAACACUGAAUGGAGGCCCGAACCCACGCACGUUGAAAAGUGCGGGGAUGAGGUGUGGGUAGGGGUGAAAUGCCAAUCGAACCUGGAGAUAGCUGGUUCUCUCCGAAAUAGCUUUAGGGCUAGCCUCAAGGUAAGAGUCUCGGAGGUAGAGCACUGAUUGGACUAGGGGCCCCUACCGGGUUACCGAAUUCAGUCAAACUCCGAAUGCCGAUGACUUAUCCUUGGGAGUCAGACUGCGAGUGAUAAGAUCCGUAGUCGAAAGGGAAACAGCCCAGACCGCCAGCUAAGGUCCCAAAGUAUACGUUAAGUGGAAAAGGAUGUGGAGUUGCUUAGACAACCAGGAUGUUGGCUUAGAAGCAGCCACCAUUUAAAGAGUGCGUAAUAGCUCACUGGUCGAGUGACUCUGCGCCGAAAAUGUACCGGGGCUAAACGUAUCACCGAAGCUGCGGACUGUUCUUCGAACAGUGGUAGGAGAGCGUUCUAAGGGCUGUGAAGCAAGACCGGAAGGACUUGUGGAGCGCUUAGAAGUGAGAAUGCCGGUAUGAGUAGCGAAAGAGGGGUGAGAAUCCCCUCCACCGAAUGCCUAAGGUUUCCUGAGGAAGGCUCGUCCGCUCAGGGUUAGUCGGGACCUAAGCCGAGGCCGAAAGGCGUAGGCGAUGGAUAACAGGUUGAUAUUCCUGUACCACCUCCUCACCAUUUGAGCAAUGGGGGGACGCAGGAGGAUAGGGUAAGCGCGGUAUUGGAUAUCCGCGUCCAAGCAGUUAGGCUGGGAAAUAGGCAAAUCCGUUUCCCGUGAAGGCUGAGCUGUGAUGGCGAGCGAAUUAUAGUAGCGAAGUUCCUGAUUCCACACUGCCAAGAAAAGCCUCUAGCGAGGUGAGAGGUGCCCGUACCGCAAACCGACACAGGUAGGCGAGGAGAGAAUCCUAAGGUGAUCGAGAGAACUCUCGUUAAGGAACUCGGCAAAAUGACCCCGUAACUUCGGGAGAAGGGGUGCUCUGUUAGGGUGCAAGCCCGAGAGAGCCGCAGUGAAUAGGCCCAGGCGACUGUUUAGCAAAAACACAGGUCUCUGCGAAGCCGUAAGGCGAAGUAUAGGGGCUGACGCCUGCCCGGUGCUGGAAGGUUAAGAGGAGCGCUUAGCGUAAGCGAAGGUGCGAAUUGAAGCCCCAGUAAACGGCGGCCGUAACUAUAACGGUCCUAAGGUAGCGAAAUUCCUUGUCGGGUAAGUUCCGACCCGCACGAAAGGCGCAACGAUCUGGGCACUGUCUCAACGAGAGACUCGGUGAAAUUAUAGUACCUGUGAAGAUGCAGGUUACCCGCGACAGGACGGAAAGACCCCGUGGAGCUUUACUGCAGCCUGAUAUUGAAUGUUGGUACAGCU
rnacentral:rRNA from 1 species